GUGGGGAAUCUUGCGCAAUGGGCGAAAGCCUGACGCAGCCAUGCCGCGUGAAUGAUGAGGGUCUUAGGAUUGUAAAAUUCUUUCACCGGGGACGAUAAUGACGGUACCCGGAGAAGAAGCCCCGGCUAACUUCGUGCCAGCAGCCGCGGUAAUACGAAGGGGGCUAGCGUUGCUCGGAAUUACUGGGCGUAAAGGGCGCGUAGGCGGAUCGUUAAGUCAGGGGUGAAAUCCCAGAGCUCAACUCUGGAACUGCCCUUGAUACUGGCGAUCUUGAGUGUGAGAGAGGUAUGUGGAACUCCGAGUGUAGAGGUGAAAUUCGUAGAUAUUCGGAAGAACACCAGUGGCGAAGGCGACAUACUGGCUCAUUACUGACGCUGAGGCGCGAAAGCGUGGGGAGCAAACAGGAUUAGAUACCCUUGUAGUCC
rnacentral:rRNA from 1 species